rnacentral:rRNA from 1 species
CAAUAGCGUAUAUUAAAGUUGUUGCAGUUAAAAAGCUCGUAGUUGGAUUUCUGGUGGGAGCGAUCGGUCUGGCGCUUAGCGCGAGUACUUGCAUCGUCUCCGGCCAUCCUUGGGGAGAGUCUGUCUGGUAUUAGGUUGUCGGGCAGAGGAUCCUCAUCGUUUACUGUGAAAAAAUUAGAGUGUUCAAAGCAGGCUUAUGCCGUUGAAUAUGUUAGCAUGGAAUAAUAAGAUAGGACUUUGGUACUAUUUUGUUGGUUUGCGCACCAAAGUAAUGAUUAAUAGGGACAGUUGGGGGUAUUCGUAUUCCGUUGUCAGAGGUGAAAUUCUUGGAUUUACGGAAGACGAACUACUGCGAAAGCAUUUACCAAGGAUGUUUUCAUUAA